CCUACGGGUGGCUGCAGUGGGGGAUAUUGCACAAUGGAGGAAACUCUGAUGCAGCAACGCCGCGUGAGGGAAGAAGGUCUUCGGAUUGUAAACCUCUGUCCUCAGGGACGAUAAUGUCGGUACCUGAGGAGGAAGCUCCGGCUAACUACGUGCCAGCAGCCGCGGUAAUACGUAGGGAGCAAGCGGUGUCCGGAUUUACUGGGUGUAAAGGGUGCGUAGGCAGCCCUGCAAGUCAGGUGUGAAAACUAUGGGCUUAACUCAUAGAUUGCACUUGAAACUGUGGGGGUUGAGUGAAGUAGAGGCAGGGCGGAUUCCCCGUGUAGGGGUGAAAUGCCGAGAGAACGGGAAGGACACCAAUGGCGAAGGCGGCCUGCCUGGCUUUAAAUGAAGCUGGAGCACGAAAGCGGGGGUAACGAACAGGAUUAGAUACCCCUGGAGUC
rnacentral:rRNA from 1 species